GACGAACGCUGGCGGCGUGCUUAACACAUGCAAGUCGAACGGAAAGGCCCUGCUUUUGUGGGGUGCUCGAGUGGUGAACGGGUGAGUAACACGUGAGUAACCUGCCCUUGACUUUGGGAUAACUUCAGGAAACUGGGGCUAAUACCGGAUAGUAGCUCCUGCUGCAUGGUGGGGGUUGGAAAGUUUCGGCGGUUGGGGAUGGACUCGCGGCUUAUCAGCUUGUUGGUGGGGUAGUGGCUUACCAAGGCUUUGACGGGUAGCCGGCCUGAGAGGGUGACCGGCCACAUUGGGACUGAGAUACGGCCCAGACUCCUACGGGAGGCAGCAGUGGGGAAUAUUGCACAAUGGGCGGAAGCCUGAUGCAGCAACGCCGCGUGCGGGAUGACGGCCUUCGGGUUGUAAACCGCUUUCGCCUGUGACGAAGCGUGAGUGACGGUAAUGGGUAAAGAAGCACCGGCUAACUACGUG
rnacentral:rRNA from 1 species